GACGAACGCUGGCGGCGUGCUUAACACAUGCCAGUCGAACGGAAAGGCCCUGCUUUUGUGGGGUGCUCGAGUGGCGAACGGGUGAGUAACACGUGAGUAACCUGCCCUUGACUUUGGGAUAACUUCAGGAAACUGGGGCUAAUACCGGAUAGGAGCUCCUGCUGCAUGGUGGGGGUUGGAAAGUUUCGGCGGUUGGGGAUGGACUCGCGGCUUAUCAGCUUGUUGGUGGGGUAGUGGCUUACCAAGGCUUUGACGGGUAGCCGGCCUGAGAGGGUGACCGGCAACAUUGGGAAUGAGAGACGGCCCGGACUCCUACGGGAGGCAGCAGGGGGGGAGAGUGCAGAAUGGGCGGGAGCCUGAUGCAGCAACGCCGCGUGAGGGAUGACGGCCUUCGGGUUGUAAACCGCAUGCGCCUGUGACGAAGCGUGAGGGACGGUAAGGGGUAAAGAAGCACCGGCUAACUACGGG
rnacentral:rRNA from 1 species